GAGCACUCCUACGGGAGGCAGCAGUGGGGAAUAUUGCACAAUGGGCGCAAGCCUGAUGCAGCCAUGCCGCGUGUAUGAAGAAGGCCUUCGGGUUGUAAAGUACUUUCAGCAGUGAGGAAGUGGGUAUGUUAAUAGCAUAUUCAUUUGACGUUAGCUGCAGAAGAAGCACCGGCUAACUCCGUGCCAGCAGCCGCGGUAAUACGGAGGGUGCGAGCGUUAAUCGGAAUUACUGGGCGUAAAGCGCAUGCAGGUGGUUUGUUAAGUCAGAUGUGAAAGCCCGGGGCUCAACCUCGGAAUUGCAUUUGAAACUGGCAAACUAGAGUACUGUAGAGGGGGUAGAAUUUCAGGUGUAGCGGUGAAAUGCGUAGAGAUCUGAAGGAAUACCGGUGGCGAAGGCGGCCCCCUGGACAGAUACUGACACUCAGAUGCGAAAGCGUGGGGAGCAAACAGGAUUAGAUACCCUGGUAG
rnacentral:rRNA from 1 species